rnacentral:rRNA from 1 species
CACGGGGGGAGCAAGCGUUGUUCGGAAUCACUGGGCGUAAAGGGCGUGUAGGCGGUUAGGUAAGUGGGAUGUGAAAUGCCCCGGCUCACCCGGGGACCUGCAUCCCAAACUGCCCGACUUGAGUAUGGGAGAGGAUGAGGGAAUUCCUGGUGUAGCGGUGAAAUGCGUAGAUAUCAGGAGGAACACCGGUGGCGAAGGCGCUCAUCUGGCCCAAUACUGACGCUGAGGCGCGAAAGCUAGGGGAGCAAACGGG